UACGAAGGGGGCUAGCGUUGCUCGGAAUCACUGGGCGUAAAGCGCACGUAGGCGGCUUGUUAAGUCAGGGGUGAAAUCCUGGAGCUCAACUCCAGAACUGCCUUUGAUACUGGCGAUCUCGAGUCCGGGAGAGGUGAGUGGAACUGCGAGUGUAGAGGUGAAAUUCGUAGAUAUUCGCAAGAACACCAGUGGCGAAGGCGGCGCACUGGCCCGGUACUGACGCUGAGGUGCGAAAGCGUGGGGAGCAAACAGG
rnacentral:rRNA from 1 species